CGGGGACAGUUGAAGAAACUCGUGCUCUUUGUCAAAGAAUAUUGGAAGAUGUGUUCGUGCCCUCUCUGGCAAAAAAGAAUGAUCAUUUCGAUGAAAUGGGCAACGCGAUGCUACAGAGUCUCUGGCCCAUCAACUUUAAUAUUGAACCAGUAGCAUUCAUGGCGUUCACAUUUUAUCUGGCCUCUUCAACUGCGCGCAACAAUAAUCAUUCUAUCGAAAUAGAUACUUCGACUAUGCCGUUUUACAGCUGGUACUUGUUCAAUCUACAACACUUCGUGCUGAAAUACUUAAUGCGACCUAGUGCUUGGUGGUCCUCAUUUUUCCGCCCAAUUUUUAAUGUUUUAAUGCGUUUAUCGAUUUUCUUGAUGGAAAAAUAUCCCUUCCUUGCUUAUUGGACCUUCGGAAAGAAAUAUGCUAAUGUCAAUAUUUUUCAUUAUCACUUCGACUGAAUGUUUAAUCGAAAUAACAAGAGGACUAACGGCUUUUUAUCAAAUCAUAUCAAAAUUAUGAAAUUCUGUUAAUUACCUAGGAGUUAAUUAAGUGAGUAAACUGGCAAAUAAGAGCCAAGACGCGGGUAUUGGUGCGUAAACUUAUUAUUAUUAAAAUAUAACAAUAAUAAGUUUGCGCACCAAUAUCCGUGCCUUGGCUCUUAUUUGCCAGUUUACCCACUUAAUUGUUAGUACUCUAAGCCUAUUGCUGAAAUUCUAUGUAAGAAAAAACCGUGAUAUGAUGUGUAUGUAAUUAAUUAAUUAAUGUUUUACUAUAUACGUAUUACGUAUACAGGGUAAAAAUUGCUCAUCGAGAAAAACGAGGUUUUCUACAUACAAAGAUAAAAACACAAAAAAAUAUAUAUGUCGAGUACAUUCUCGGAAAAAAAUAAAUAUUGCUUUUAAAAACUAAUAUAGAAGGGAAGCGCUCAAAAACGUACGUAAUAAGAGAGACUCUUGUAAUUAUAGUAAUUAUAGUUAUCAAUAUAAUUAUAGUAAUUAUAGUCAUUAAGAUAAAUUGUGCUGUUUCUAAUAUAAUUGCGUAAUAUCUAAAAAAAAUGUAUUCAAAACAAUGUUAGUUAUACUCAGUUGCAAUAGUUAAAAUACUUUUCACAUAACACAAAUGUUCAAAAUAUAUUUUCUACGUU